UAAUUUGCAGAGGAUGCUUCGGGUUCGGUUCCGGUCUAAGUUCCUUGGAACAGGACGUCAUAGAGGGUGAGAAUCCCGUAUGUGACCGGCCGCCACGCCCGUGCGAAGCUCCUUCGACGAGUCGAGUUGUUUGGGAAUGCAGCUCAAAAUGGGUGGUAAAUUUCAUCUAAAGCUAAAUACCGGCCAGAGACCGAUAGCGCACAAGUAGAGUGAUCGAAAGAUGAAAAGCACUUUGGAAAGAGAGUCAAACAGUACGUGAAAUUGUUGAAAGGGAAGCGCUUGCAACCAGACUUGCCCGCGGGUGAUCAGCCGGUAUUCUUACCGGUGCACUCGCCCGUGGUCAGGCCAGCAUCGGUUUGGGCGGCUGGAUAAAGUCCGCUGGAAUGUAGCUCCUCUCGGGGAGUGUUAUAGCCAGAGGUGCCAUGCAGCCCGCCCGGACCGAGGACCGCGCUUCGGCUAGGAUGCUGGCGUAAUGGUUGUAAGCGACCCGUCUUGAAACACGGACCAAGGAGUCUAACAUCUAUGCGAGUGUUUGGGUGUCAAACCCAUGCGCGUAAUGAAAGUGAACGGAGGUGGGAACCCUGAAGGGUGCACCAUCGACCGAUCCUGAUGUCUUCGGAUGGAUUUGAGUAAGAGCAUAGCUGUUGGGACCCGAAAGAUGGUGAACUAUGCCUGAAUAGGGUGAAGCCAGAGGAAACUCUGGUGGAGGCUCGCAGCGGUUCUGACGUGCAAAUCGAUCG
rnacentral:rRNA from 1 species